rnacentral:rRNA from 1 species
UAGGGAAUCUUCCGCAAUGGACGCAAGUCUGACCGAGCAACGCCGCGUGAGUGAAGAAGGAUUUCGGUUCGUAAAACUCUGUUGUUAGAGAAGAACAGCGCAUAGAGGAACUGUUAUGCGUGUGACGGUAUCUAACCAGAAAGCCACGGCUAACUACGUGCCAGCAGCCGCGGUAAUACGUAGGUGGCAAGCGUUGUCUGGAUUUAUUGGGCGUAAAGCGAGCGCAGGCGGUCAAUUAAGUCUGAUGUGAAAGCCCCCGGCUCAACCGGGGAGGGUCAUUGGAAACUGGUUGACUUGAGUGCGGAAGAGGAGAGUGGAAUUCCAUGUGUAGCGGUGAAAUGCGUAGAUAUCUGGAGGAACACCAGUGGCGAAUGCGACUCUCUGGUCUGUAACUGACGCUGAGGUUCGAAAGCGUGGGUAGCAAACAGG